rnacentral:tRNA from 1 species
GUGGGCGUAGCUCAAUCGGUUCGAGCACCGGGUUGUGGUCCCGGGGGUUGGGGGUUCGAGUCCCCUCGCUCACCCCA